ensembl:lncRNA
AUGGUGCCUGUAAGUCCAACAGCAUCUCCCUCGGGCUUGGAGAAACCCAGCGGAGUGCGAGGAAAAUCAGCACCUCCCUGGAAACAAAACCCCGUGUUUGACCGCUGCCCCGCGCUGACGCUGGGAGUCCAGCCCUCGGCUGCGACGAGGCUGCCGCACCGCACAGGAAGGUGGGGUUUGUCAGAAAGGAGCUUUUCUUCCCAGAAGCUUUAUGCUAAGAGACAGAGCCGAAGCCUUCCCCAAAGGAGUGAGACUGUUUCUGAAGCUAACUAUAGCCUAUUUUGCAAAGGCCAGCGCACCCCAGAAAUGCACGGGCACGCGAGCAUGAGUACCUUUUCCAGGUCUCCCGAGGUCAGCUGCAGGCUGAAAGGCAUCGACGGGCGCGGGGUCCCACGGGAAAUGCAUUUUCAGGCUUCCUUUUGCCAAAGAUUACACGUGCUUACUAAUAAAUCCCUAGGGAGAAAAAAGAUGACUUGGAAAUCUCUGGAGACCACAGCUUUAACACCGGAUUUGGGAAAUGCAGCCUUGCUUCCUAUCAGCGCCUGUCCUUCUCCACGGUCAGGCUCCCGGCUUCAGGGUUCUGUCUGCUUCUCAAGGAGCUCAGCUCUCCCCGGCACUGGUAAUAGGGAAUAGGGCCUUUUUUUUUCUUUCUCAGGGUUUCUUUGGUCACCAGGCCUGUGGCACAGCAGGUGGUCAGGGGUUGGGGGCAGGGCAGUCCACCUAGCCUAGCCGGAGCCUCUGAACUUGAGAAAAGAAAUCCUUCCGAGGUGGUGGGGACCACAGCCCUGAAUUCUGCUGGGGAGGCUCAAGCUUCGACCUGAGCACAGAACACCCUGGGGAGAAGCGCCUCUUUGCUGGCUAUCAAUAUAUAUACAUAUAUAUAUAUAUAUAUAUAUUUUUUUUUUUUUUUCCUUUUGCAGAAUGAAAAUAGAACGGAGAUGCCAGGGAGAUCUGGGUCCUUAUCAUACCCAACUCUCUCUAACUCUGUACGAUUUGGGUUAAUUAUAGAAUUCUUGCUGCCUAAAACUUAAAGAUACAUCACUGAUAUUUUUGCUAAAUGUUGACUGCAGCGAAUAGCUAAGAUGUGGCAUAUUGAUUUCUUGUUGUGAAGUGAGCUGUUCAAGCUCCAUUUAAGAUUUUCAUCUUGCAUGUAGCCCUGAGCACAUCAUAGCACCAUAAAUUAGUUAAAUUGCACAUUUAUCACAAAUGUUAUUUUAAGAUACUGUGUAAAUGCGAUGGCUGGAAGAUAUACAGUAGGGCCGCAACAAGCCCGGGCUUGGGCGGGGUGAGGUCGGGGUCACCUACAUACCUGUGAUUAAAACCGCCCUCAGUGGCACCGUCCCUCCUCCUCCCACGGCCCAUUUAGAGACCUGACCGGGAGGCCCCAGCCGUGCCCGCGCGGGCACCCUCUAUCCGCGCCAGCCGGAGACCCAGCGCACAGCCACCUCAGAUUCGGAACGCCACCUUACAUCUGGCCGUUGUGUCCCCGGAAAACCAGAGGCAUCCUGGGCUGGGAAUGGAAAGCUUCUCCGGGCGGCGGCCGAGAGGGGGUUGUGACCUCCGGAGCAAAUUGGCCUUGCCUUUCCGAGGCCAUCGGAGACUAACACUGGCCCUAGCCAGCUCCCACCCCCACCCCGUCCCAGGAUGCGUGGCUCGGGGUGGGCGGGGGGGGGGGGUGUGAACAGUCACUUUGCCAAUCGCAAUCCUGAGUAGAGCCCUGAACUCCCCAGUUAACUGCAUUUCCUCCGAUGGUAACAUUAAUUUCUGGGCCCCGCUCCUAUGAGCGCCCCUUUCCUGCCUCUGAGCCCCAGGUGCCAAAUGGGUGACAUCACCUGGUACCCACCUUGGCUCUAAACCCUCACUCCCACGCCCAAAGUGAAAAGUCCUGAAGAUAAUCCCACGGUGGGGUGGAGAGAAGAUGGGCAGAAUGUCAGGUUCUUCUCCCAAACUGUUAAGGUAGGGGGCGGGGGGAGGGGGCACCCUCACUUGCACAAACCCCAUCUCCCUUCAAGCCACAUGGACCCUGGUGGUGAUGGAAGUGUUGUCAGUGUAAUCUGUUAGACGCAGGACUUUGGAUUCUAAUAAACCGAUGCUAUAUUUAACCUGUGAAAAAUUC